CGGGGGAGGGAAAAAAGAGCACUAAUUAGUUUGAAAACCAGUUUAUCUUUCUACAGUUAGAUAAGGAGAAAAAUGAAGAACCCCCUGCUAGUGGGGAAAGGCAAGCAUUAUCUAGAGUCUAGCACGUGAAUAAUAUACUCGGUUAUCGCGCAUUGCCAUCGGUUUUCCACGGCAGAGGAUACAGCAGACUUGGAAAGGUGCAUGCUUAAAGCCAGGUUAGUCUUACAUUCCAUAACUAUGCUGUUUGUGGGGCUGUUGUGGCUAAAGUAGUUGGCUAUGCCCAAAUGGGCGUUGACCUGUUCCCACAAAUCUUUAUCCCAGUCUUCAUGGCCAGGAAGGCAUUGCCAUGUGCUCUCAGCCAAUCUCUUGUCCUAGGUUCCUGGUUUGGUUGACAGCAACCCCCUCAACACAACUUUUGUCAUCACGGCUUGCGCUAUAAUGACUGGUUUCAGUCCAAGGAACCCGGUGGUGAGCAUCAAAGGGCCAAGUGGCCUACUUACUUUCAACAGUAGUACGGUUGGUAAGCUCUGCCACGUCGGAAAAAGAGCCCAUCUAAGCGCUCGGUGGAGACAGAGAUGCCCUCACCCCACAUCUGGGCACCAGCAACAAUCACUUCCGGCCCCUGAUGCUGGGGAAUGAGGCCCCCACUUCCUGUGCCAGGCAGGUGGGUUCUGGCUAGAGCCAGAGGCUGGGAGCUGAGUGGUGAGCCUCGUGGGCCCGCCAUAUCCAGGGGUCCCCCUCUCUGGCCCAUCCUCCUCAAGGGCCCCCUUCCUCGGGCCCAACCUAUUCUGGACCCCCCGCCCCCCCCCCCCCCCCCCCCCAGCAUGAUGGUGGCCCCGCAUGGCCGGGACGCCAGCCGCCUUCCUUGUGCUCCGUGGCGGCCAUCUUAGGGAAGAGAAGGAGUGCCCGAAAAUGGGCGCAAGGAGACCCGGGAGGGGUGAGAGGUCAGCUGCUGGUUGGGAAGAAGCUUUGUUUUGUGGAAGUUGUCGGCCUGGAAGGGCCGACUUUUGAUUUUGAGGGUAGAGGAGGGGAGUACUGAAAAGGAGAGGAGCAGGCAGAAGAGCCUUUAUCACCAAGGACAGGACUGCAGUGUGGAAUCUCCCAGGUCGAUAACAGUAGCUAAGAAUGCUUGGUAGGAUGGAAGCCCAAGUCAGACCAAAGGGAGUCUCAGAGGUGAGGAGAGGGCUCAAUGAAAAGAGUUGGAGAGGAAAAGUGGACCAGAAAGUUAUAGUGGAUUGUGGAAAACCAGGCAUACUUUGUGAUGGUCAGACGAUAAAUUCCUAUUAGGAAGACAUCAGUGGGGCCCAAAGUGACCUGAGAAGGCAUUAAUGGAGGAAAGGGACUUGUGACUUUUGAAGAUUAGACAGGAAAAAAAAAAAAAAAAAAAAAAAGGAAGGUGUGGAUACUACAGGUAAAGCCAGUGAUUAAUACGUUUCCAAACCGAGGAGUAAACAGGGGAUAUGACAGAAAUUUUUGGACUGUCCAAGGUAUAGGAGGCAGUCUCGGGGAUCAGUCGGAGUGCUGACAUGCUGGGGUUCGGUGAACAUUCCAGGGGUCUAUAGAACUUAAAUCUAACCUAAUUAGGAGAACCUACCCUCACGAUUGGAGUCUGGCAGUAGGUGGGAAACCACUGCAGAGCUUUAAGUAGGGGUAGUGAUGUCAUCAUUUUACUUUAAAAGAUUGUUCUGGCUCCAGUGUAGAGGACAGAUAGAAGGGGCAAAACAGGCACACCGGGCCAGUUAGAGGCUGUGCCUCCCUGUAGAGGGGCCCGUAGAGAGAGGAGCCAGAGUUAGCAUCAGCUUGCCAGCCUGGAAGUGGGCCUUCCACCCCCGGGAAGUCAUCCUGGGUGAUGCCACCUAGAGCAAGGACAAGCGUCCCUGCCCAGCCCCAUCCAAACGGCAGAGUCGUGAGCAAAACAAAUGCCUACUUUAUCAUUUUCAGUCCGGGGCUGGUUUCUCACACAGCAAUAGGAAGCUGUUAACAGAUGACU